rnacentral:rRNA from 1 species
CACGUAGGGCGCAAGCGUUGUCCGGAAUUAUUGGGCGUAAAGAGCUCGUAGGCGGUUUGUCGCGUCGGCUGUGAAAACCUGGGGCUCAACCCCGGGCCUGCAGUCGAUACGGGCAGACUAGAGUGCGGUAGGGGAGACUGGAAUUCCUGGUGUAGCGGUGAAAUGCGCAGAUAUCAGGAGGAACACCGGUGGCGAAGGCGGGUCUCUGGGCCGUAACUGACGCUGAGGAGCGAAAGCGUGGGGAGCGAACAGG